CGGUGACCCCGCAGCCGGUCGGACGGCUAAAGAGCUCACGUACCCGGACACACGCACCGGCGCAGAACAAAGGGCCAGACAUGCUCCGAACCCGCUCCGCCUCCUCCUGGCUCUCCUCGGCCCGGGUUACCUGCGCAGGAUCUCAGUUCUCCAACCAGGGGUUGAACCUGGGCCACAGCAGUGAAAGGCCAGAACACCAACCACUAAGCAACCAGGGAAUUCCCCCAGAUGAUACUGUUUUCUGAUUGUACGUUGCAGGCCCAAGGGAGCUGUCCAGAGGAUCAGGAAGGAAGCCACUGCAGAAAAAUUCCGGAGCCAGCCUUUGAUGGACAGAGCCUCACCGGGAAAGCAAGGAGGAUGAGACGGCAAAGAAAGGAAGAGAAAGGACGUCUGUUGAGAAAGGACUCUGUAUAGAACAUCGUGCUGAAUGUUUACACACAUCAUCUCAUUUAGUAUUUAUAUAUAUAUUUAUUUGACUGCCUCGGGUCUUAGUGGCAGUACAUGGAAUCUUUGCCAAGCGCAGACUAUCUGUCCUGGUACUCCAGCUUUAGCAGUUGCGGGCUUCAGUAGUUUCAGCGCACGCUUAAAUUGCUCCGCAGCAUGUGGGGUCUAUAGUUCCCUGACAGGGAUUGAACUCACGUCUCCUGAAUUACAAGGUGAAUUCUUAACCACUGGAUCACCAGGAAAGUUCCCACCAUCUCAUUUAAUCUUCUCCAAACUCCAUUUUGCAUAUGAGAAAGCAGAUUCAGGUUGUAAAACUGGAGGGUUGUUAGACCAAGGCGGGGGAAAGCUGAGUUUGAACUGGGAUCUGUCAGCCUUCCUCUGAAGCCUGGGUGUUUCUAGGUUACCAUCCUGGCUUCCAACCCUCAAACACCUCCCCAACUGGGUUAACUUAGGGCCUAAAAUAUCUCCAUUGAAGACUCAUCAAUCGAUUUUUGUCUAAAACUCUCUUGUAGAAGUCACUGUAUGACAGUUGAAAUUGAUAGGUUGGAAACUGAAACUCAGCAUCACAAAGGCAACCACUCUAAGACCUAAAAAGAAAUUCAUGAAAAAGAAAUACAAAAAUAAAAAUAGGAAUGGAGGAAGUAAAGGGGAUGAGGGAGUAUGAGUGAGGGAGCUAAUUUCUUAUCAUUCAUAUUAGGAGACAAGCGAUACUGUCUAAAAUGGGCAAAUUAGAACUUCCCUGGCAGUCUAGUGGUUAAGAGUCUGGUCAGAAAACCAAGAUCCCACAUGCCACGUGGCACGGUGAAGAAGAUAAAAAAUAAAAUAAACUGGACACACUUGUGUUAUUACGCAAAGAGAUAAUGGUGAUCACAGGAGAACUAAGAACAGAAACUGCCUCUAGGGAGUGGAGCUGGGGAGAACAGAGUAACUUUCAUUCUUUAUUUGUCCUUCUUAGCUCUUCAUUAAAUAUGUGUAUAUAUAUAUAUAUACACACACACACAUAUAUAUAUAUUUUUCUGUUGUGUAACUUUUUAAAAAUUUUUGGAAAUUUUUGUUACAAAAGACUGAAGAGACAAAAACACCCUUCCUUUAGAAUGCAAGUCUGUCUUGAAGUGAUAGUCCUUGACACCUGGGUAAAUGUUAGGUCUGCAGGACUUCAGUCAGAGGACCUCAGUCAGGGGAGGGUCAUGUGGUGAUCAACAUGGCUUCCUAAGCAGUUGCCUCUGGGGAAUGGGCUUGAGAGACAAGUUCACCUUUGCAAACACACAGGGCCAGGGAAGUCCUGCUCCCGCACAGUCCUAAAGGCAGCUCACACUCAGACACCAGAGGGCCAGACAUCACCACCCCUCUAAUUAUCCCUGAUGCGACUCUGCCCUGGGCAGCACCACGCUCUGAGCAGGAGCACUUGCCAGCCAGG